rnacentral:rRNA from 1 species
UAAUAAGCGGAGGAAAAGAAACCAACAGGGAUUGCCUCAGUAACGGCGAGUGAAGCGGCAAAAGCUCAAAUUUGAAAUCUAGCACUUUCAGUGUUCGAGUUGUAAUUUGAAGAAGGUAACUUUGGUUUUGGCUCUUGUCUAUGUUCCUUGGAACAGGACGUCACAGAGGGUGAGAAUCCCGUGCGAUGAGAUGCCCAAUUCCAUGUAAAGUGCUUUCGAAGAGUCGAGUUGUUUGGGAAUGCAGCUCUAAGUGGGUGGUAAAUUCCAUCUAAAGCUAAAUAUUGGCGAGAGACCGAUAGCGAACAAGUACAGUGAUGGAAAGAUGAAAAGAACUUUGAAAAGAGAGUGAAAAAGUACGUGAAAUUGUUGAAAGGGAAGGGCUUGAGAUCAGACUUGGUAUUUUGCGUUCCCUUCCUUUUUGGUUGGGUUCCUCGCAGUUUACUGGGCCAGCAUCGGUUUGGAUGGUAGGAUAAUGACAUUGGAAUGUAGCUUUACUUCGGUGAAGUGUUAUAGACUUUGUUGAUACUGCCUAUCUAGACCGAGGACUGCGUCU